rnacentral:lncRNA from 1 species
UCAUAAAGACUACUUAAGUACCAAGUUUUUCUCCACAAUCCAAUCCUAAACAUGCUCAUUCCCAUUACCAUAUCACUUUACUUUUUUUUAUUGAAGAGACAUUGAGCUUAUUUUAUUCAUGCUUCCUAUUUUAUUAUGUGAAAGAAAAAUACUAACUAAGAAAUAAACAUAAAAAUAAACACCUAAAAAGAAAUAAAAACUAAAAAAAAGAAUUUCCCC